rnacentral:pre_miRNA from 1 species
UACUGCAUCAGGAACUGAUUGGGGAAUAAUCAUGUACCAUCAGUUCCUAAUGCAUUGCC